rnacentral:lncRNA from 1 species
CAUUUUAGCAUAUUUAUUUCUCUUACUGUUUUCUUUUUGAAUUCUGCACAUAUUUAAAGUAGUAUUCCUGAGUAGCAUUGAGAACUAUGUCUAGAUACUCAUGUUGCAACAGAACAAAGGGUGGAGAAAAAAAAAUGUGAUGUAUACAUGUAAGGAUAACUUGAUCCCCUUGCUGUACAGUGGGAAAAUAAAAUUAAAAAAAAAAGUAUGCUUUUGUCACAUAAGUCCAUAUCAUAAGCAUUUUCCUAUGCCAAUAAAAGUCAUUAAAAAAGUGAGGUAAGGAGUUCCUGUCGUGGCUCAGUGGUUAACGAAUCUGACUAGGAACUGCGGGGUUGAGGGUCUGAUCCCUGGCCUUGCUCAGUGGGUUAAGGAUCCGGCGUUGCCGUGAGCUGUGGUGUAGGUCGCAGACACAGCUCGGAUCCCGUGUUGCUGUGGCUGUGGUGUAGGCCGGUGGCUACAGCUCCGAUUGGAACCCUAGCCUGGGAACCUCAAUAUGCUGCAGGAGCGGCCCUAGAAAUGGCAAAAAGACAAAAAAAAAAAAAAAAAAAAAAGUGAAGUAGAAGUUCCUGCCGUGGCUCAGCAGUUAGUGAACCCAACUAGCGUCCAUGGGGAUGCGGGUUCAAUCCCUGGUCUCACUCAGUGGGUUGAGGAUCCAGUGUUGCCGUGGGCUGUGGUGUAGGUUGCAGACUCAGCUUGGAUCCUAUGUUGCUGUGGCUCUGACAUCGGCCAGCAGCUACAGUCCCAUUUGGACCCCUAGCCUGGGAGCCUCCAUAUGCUGCGGGUUCGGUCCUAAAAAAGACGAAAAGACCAAAAAAAAAAAAAAAACCAAAAAGUUGUCACUGCAGCAACUUAGGUCAUUGCUGUGGUGUGGGCUUGAUCCCUGGCCCAGGAACUUCCACAUGCUGACAGACCCCCCCCCCAAAAAAAAAAAACCAAAAAAGCCAUGUAGUAUUGAGUCAAAGCAAACUGCUCAGUAGCGCACUGAGUGUGAUCACAUCUCUAAGGCGACAAGGCAUAGAUGCUUGGAAGUGGGAAAGUAGUAGCUGAGACAGUUACCUUGACGCUGACUGUGCCAGGUCCUAGAGGAGGGACUUCAGAUUUAUUUGCUGAAAAAGAAGGAGCCAUGGGAGGGCUUUGCGCAGAAAAGUAACAGAGCAUGAUUUGAUCAUCAACAUUUGAUCUCUCUGAACCUCAGUUCUGACAUGUAUAUAAUGGGAGUGUUGAACCAAGAACCCCUGAAAUCAUCAUAUAAUCUAAUAUACUAUGAUAGUCUCUAAGUAUUUAAAGAUCUCUUACACAAAGCUGUGGGAAGUGGGGGUAUAGCUCACUAGUAAAGCAUUUGACAGCAUAAAGCCCUGGGAAUGGCUUUAUUCGUCACUGGCUGGUCAUAGCUCUCUCCAAAGGACCCUAACUCUAGUCUCUAUGCUCCCCAACCUGCCGAUGACUUUGCUUUCUUCUCCACUCCGAAGGCAGGUGAUGUCAGUGGGAUGGUCUGCAAGUGCCUUUCCUUCAACCCACAAAGUCUCCCAUGCCUCAGAAGAAAAAGAGUUCCUCUUCCUUUCCAUCCCCUUAAUUUCAUCACCUCUCACACUCGCUAUAAAAAUGAGAAUUGAAACCCCUGAUUUCAUAGGGGUGGGUGAAUGGACUGACUUUGAUUCCUCAUCGGGGAGAGAAUAUCUCCAUUCAUCUGACAGCAAAACAAAGGUUCAGAGAGUAGGAGCUCAGAUUUACACCAGGGAAAAGAGGAAGUACAGAGCUGUGAACACAUCUGCUGGACUCCCCAGCUCUUCCAUCUCACCACUGCCCCCUGGAUGGAAGGCACCCACACGGGAAAAGGCUCAUUCAUUCGUCACCUUUUCGGCUGUUCUGCUCAACAGCAUUAUCAUCUGUGUGCUGCUUUGAUGGUUUAUGUUGACCUGGCUGGGCAUGCUCCUUGGCAAGAUGCCCAUUUGAAAGUCUGUUUACUUGCUUACUGUUGUGAUUUUUCUUAAAUUCUUGGCUGAUAGAGUGUUCUUUUCAAUCAUCGACUUGGACAUUUACAUCCUAAUGCCAGUUAUGCAAAAGAACUCACCAGUAUGGUGUCUUUUACAUAAAGUUCAAAAUGAAACAGUGUGUUCAAGGACACAUCUGUAAUAAAACCACAAAGAAAAGGAAGAACGUGUGUGUGAGUUAGCCAUUGCCACACACACACAAAGUGUUGUUUAAGGCAUUCACGUAAAACUCCACCCGGAAGCCACAAUCAUUUAUUCUCAUGGAACUGGGAGGUGGCUGGCUAGGCUGGGCUCAGCUCUGCUCCCUGUCUCUCAUCCUUCUUCUCAAUGGGCAUGCUAGUCCAAAUAUAUAUAUUUAUCUUAUUUUCUUAAUUUUUUAAUUUUUAAUUUUUUGCUUUUCAGGACAGAACCGGUAGCACAUGGAGGUUCCCAGGCUAGAGGUCGAAUUGGAGCUGCAGCUGCUGGCCUACACCACAGC